rnacentral:rRNA from 1 species
UACGUAGGGUGCAAGCGUUAUCCGGAAUUAUUGGGCGUAAAGAGCUCGUAGGCGGUUUGUCGCGUCUGCUGUGAAAACUGGGGGCUCAACCCCAGCCUGCAGUGGGUACGGGCAGACUAGAGUGCGGUAGGGGAGAUUGGAAUUCCUGGUGUAGCGGUGAAAUGCGCAGAUAUCAGGAGGAACACCAGUGGCGAAGGCGACUACCUGGCCUGUUCUUGACGCUGAGGCGCGAAAAGCUAGGGGGAGCAAACGGG